rnacentral:rRNA from 1 species
UGCCAGCCGCCGCGGUAAGACGAACCGUCCAAACGUUAUUCGGUAUCACUGGGCUUAAAGCGUGCGUAGGCGGCCCUGCAGGUGAGAUGUGAAAGCCCACGGCUCAACCGUGGAAUUGCGUUUCAAACCGCAGGACUUGAGGAAGACAGGGGUGUUGGGAACUUAUGGUGGAGCGGUGAAAUGCGUUGAUAUCAUAGGGAACACCGGUGGCGAAGGCGCAACACUGGGUCUUUUCUGACGCUGAGGCACGAAAGCUAGGGUAGCGAACGGGAUUAGAUA